UACGGAGGAUGCGAGCGUUAUCCGGAUUUAUUGGGUUUAAAGAGUGCGCAGGCGGCACGGCAAGCCGGCGGUCAAAUCGCGGGGCUCAACCCCGCCCAGCCGUCGGAACUGCCGGGCUAGAGUGGGCGAGAAGUGCGCGGAAUGCGUGGUGUAGCGGUGAAAUGCAUAGAUAUCACGCAGAACUCCGAUUGCGAAGGCAGCGCACCGGCGCCCUACUGACGCUCAGGCACGAAAGCGUGGGUAUCGAACAGG
rnacentral:rRNA from 1 species